GAUGAACGCUGGCGGCGUGCCUAAUACAUGCAAGUCGAGCGAAGCGGGGACGGGUGAGUAACACGUUGAUAACCUCCUCUAAGACUGGGAUAACUUCGGGAAACCGGAGCUAAACCGGAUACUUAUCGUUGGAUCUGCGCUGCAUUGGCUAGUUGGUAAGGUAACGGCUUACCAAGGCAACGAUGCAUAGCCGACCUGAGAGGGUGAUCGACCACAAGGGAACUGAGACACGGUCCAAACUCCAACGGGAGGCAGCGGUAGGGAAUCUUCCGCAAUGGGCGAAAGCCUGACGAAGCAACGCCGCGUGAGUGAUGAAGGGCUUCGGAUCGUAAAACGCUGUUAUUAGGGAAGCGGUACCUAAACAGAAAGCCACGGCUAACUACGUACCAGCAGCCGCGGUAAUAC
rnacentral:rRNA from 1 species